rnacentral:rRNA from 1 species
UACGGAGGGUGCAAGCAUUGAUCGGAAUUACUGGGCGUAAAGGGCGCGUAGGCGGUUAGGUAAGUCAGAUGUGAAAUUCCGGGGCUCAACCCCGGAGCUGCAUUUGAAACUACCUAGCUAGAGUUCAGUUAGGGUAAACGGAAUUCCACGUGUAGCGGUGAAAUGCGUAGAUAUCAGGAGGAAUACCGAUGGCGAAGGCAGGUCUCUGGGCUGACACUGACGCUCAUGCACGAAAGCGUGGGGAGCAAACAGG